GGGUUUGUCUCCCAAAACCUAUAGAGUGUCUCACCAUAACCUGAAACUCCAGCAACACCAGGACUUAUGACCUCUGAAGACACCAGGCAGCCAUGGCAUGCAACACACACAUGCAGAUGCACCCCCGCCCCCAUCCUCAGGGCUCAGAGGAAGUCCAUGAAAUGAAAUGCUGGCAGAAUGGAUGCUCCAUGAACACGCAGGUUUUACCUAACAAGCAGAACCUGGAAGCCACUUAUCCCAAGCCCUAGCUAGGCUACAAGAGCUUUCCAUGAGUGUCUGAAACAAAGCUGGCCCAGGACAGAGAGGUAGCUGGCACCGGAAUAAGACCCAGAGAUGAUCCAGAACUAUUCAAGCAUGUUUACAUUUACAAGGGAAGUGAGGACAGGAGGAGACCCUGUGCCCCAGAAUACAAGUGGAAGCCUAGAACAUGUUUCGAAGACUCGCCAUCUUCUUUCUGGGCAAGGCACUUCACAUCAGCACUUGAGAGGCAGUGGCAGAGGACUGCCUUCAUCUCCACCUUGGAUUACAUAGUGAAUUCCCCGACAACCCCAGUGCACCGAAUCUCUAGGAGGAAGGAGGCUGAGCACAGCAGAGAAGAAAGGUGUGGACCAGGUCCUUCAGCAGCCCUGAGAACUGAAAAGGUACGCUCAUUGGGUGACAGCCCAUCCAUCAGCUGGUGUGUUUAUGCAGUCAACUUAAUUGGUUUCUGUGUGUGAGAGAGAUCCUUCAGGAAAAAAGGAGGAAGAAGGGAGAAGAUGAGGAGGCACAGGGGAUGGGACAGUGCAGUCUAGCAGAGCUGAGGGGUCUAGCCCAGGAUGUGUGCAGGGGGGAGUGUCCCAAGGGUAUAGGCGGUUCACUGAAUCACGAGAAGGCACCGGAAAGGCCUGAAACUUUCAAUGUGGCAGCCGCCUCCUUUUUUUUUUGGUUUUUCGAGACAGGGUUUCUCUGUG
rnacentral:lncRNA from 1 species